AUUCCCGGUGUAGCGGUGAAAUGCGUAGAUAUCGGGAAGAACACCAGUGGCGAAGGCGCUCUGCUGGGCCAUCACUGACGCUCAUGGACGAAAGCCAGGGGAGCGAAAGGGAUUAGAUACCCCUGUAGUCCUGGCCGUAAACGAUGAACACUAGGUGUCGGGGGAAUCGACCCCCUCGGUGUCGUAGCCAACGCGUUAAGUGUUCCGCCUGGGGAGUACGCACGCAAGUGUGAAACUCAAAGGAAUUGACGGGGGCCCGCACAAGCGGUGGAGUAUGUGGUUUAAUUCGAUGCAACGCGAAGAACCUUACCAGGGUUUGACAUCCUGCGAAUCUCUUGGAAACGAGAGAGUGCCUUCGGGAACGCAGUGACAGGUGGUGCAUGGCUGUCGUCAGCUCGUGUCGUGAGAUGUUGGGUUAAGUCCCGCAACGAGCGCAACCCACGUCUUUAGUUGCCAGCAUUUAGUUGGGCACUCUAGAGAGACCGCCGGUGAUAAACCGGAGGAAGGUGUGGAUGACGUCAAGUCAUCAUGCCCCUUACAUCCUGGGCUACACACGUACUACAAUGCUACGGACAAAGGGCAGCAAGUUCGCGAGGACAAGCAAAUCCCAUAAACCGUGGCUCAGUUCAGAUCGUAGGCUGCAACUCGCCUACGUGGAGGAGGAAUCGCUAGUAAUCGCAGGUCAGCAUACUGCGGUGAAUACGUUCCCGGGCCUUGCACACACCGCCCG
rnacentral:rRNA from 1 species